rnacentral:rRNA from 1 species
UACAGAGGUCCCAAGCGUUGUUCGGAUUCACUGGGCGUAAAGGGUGCGUAGGUGGUGAGGUAAGUCGGAUGUGAAAUCUCCGGGCUCAACCCGGAAAUGGCAUUGGAAACUACCUUGCUUGAGGGUUUGAGGGGGGAUUGGAAUACUUGGUGUAGCAGUGAAAUGCGUAGAUAUCAAGUGGAACACCAGUGGCGAAGGCGAAUCCCUGGAAAAUACCUGACACUGAGGCACGAAAGCUAGGGGAGCAAACAGG